rnacentral:rRNA from 1 species
UAACGCGUGAAGUAGACCGCCUGGGGAGUACGGUCGCAAGAUUAAAACUCAAAGGAAUUGACGGGGACCCGCACAAGCGGUGGAUGAUGUGGAUUAAUUCGAUGCAACGCGAAAAACCUUACCUACCCUUGACAUGGCAGAAACCUCCGAGAGAUUGGAGGGUGCUCGAAAGAGAAUCUGCACACAGGUGCUGCAUGGCUGUCGUCAGCUCGUGUCGUGAGAUGUUGGGUUAAGUCCCGCAACGAGCGCAACCCUUGUCAUUAGUUGCUACGAAAGAGCACUCUAAUGAGACUGCCGGUGACAAACCGGAGGAAGGUGGGGAUGACGUCAAGUCCUCAUGGCCCUUAUGGGUAGGGCUUCACACGUCAUACAAUGGUACAUACAGAGGGCCGCCAACCCGCGAGGGGGAGCUAAUCCCAGAAAGUGUAUCGUAGUCCGGAUUGUAGUCUGCAACUCGACUGCAUGAAGUUGGAAUCGCUAGUAAUCGCGGAUCAGCAUGUCGCGGUGAAUACGUUCCCGGGUCUUGUACACACCGCCCGUCACACCAUGGGAGCGGGUUUUACCAGAAG